CUCUGAUAUUUUACUUUACUUCUUCAAAACAUCUUUUAAAAAUUCAGUAUAAUCUAUAGGCCGCUCUAUAUCAUCUACUUUUAGUCACCUGUAGUAAUAAGCAAUUUCAUUGACUUUUUCUCAUUUUUUGCUUAGCGUUACCACGUGAGAAAUGGUGACAUGUCAGAUGAGGUAAUUUUCAGUAUACGCUUUUAUUUGUUUUUCUUGUCAACAAACAUUUGUUGAGAACCCUUCUGUGCUCUGCACAAUUGUAGAAGUUGAAUAUGUAGAUGAUUUCAGGGAAUCAAAUAAUAACUAGGAAGGACUAUUUCUAAGUAUAGAUUUGAAGCAAAGGUAGUUAGUUAUUAAAUUUCCCAUUUCUGUUCUGAUUAUUUUUGUCUUAGAAUCAUACCUAAGACUUUGGAAUAAGAGCAUCUUCUUCCUUGAAAUGUUCUGUUGAAACACUAACAAAUUCCUCGUCAUUCUUCUAUUGCAUAGAUUAUGUGAUGAUCUUUGCCUUACGGUUUUCUAUUUCCACUUUGACAUAUAAUAAACUCCACAGUUCUUCUACUCAAGAUGCAUCUCAAACAUUGAGAACCAUGCCUGGUGCAGAAUGAGCGCUCAACACAAGAAUGAGAGGAAAGAUCCCCUCCUCACACCUCUUUGGGCAGGUAUUUUAAUAGGUUAUAACAAGCCUGUAACAGUGUGUGAGUAAAGAAGGAAGCAACGAAAGGUCCCUGUUACUAGCUCAUCUCCUGCUUUUAUCUACAUUUUCAUACCAAAAGAGCUUGUUUCUAAAUGUCUAGUGGGAAAAGGUGUGGGGCAAGGCAGCAAGGACCCUGGAGCCUAACGCACUGCAAAUUCACAGCCAUUUUUUACUGACUGAAUGCCUUGGGGAAAGUUAGCUUUU
rnacentral:lncRNA from 1 species